rnacentral:rRNA from 1 species
CAUGGUAAGUGUACCGGAAGGUGCACUUGGCUAAACACAGAGCGUAGCCAAAUUAGAAUAGCGUCUCCCUUACACUGAGAAGGUACCUGUGCAAGUCAGGUCGCC